CUGAACUAAACUAACUUUAUUCAUACUGUUUCGUAUUUUUAGCAUUUACAUGAAAAUGGCAUCACUAACAGGGAUUGGAAGCAGGCAAAUAACCCAUUGGAGAAACAAGUCAAAGAAGGGUCGUAUAAAUUUCCGAACAACCUCUGGAAGAAUGUUAGCAGUGAAGCUAAGGAUCUUAUAACAAAACUGCUUACUGUUGGUCACAGAAAAUGCAUCACGGUUUCAGAAGCUCUGGAACAUCCUUGGAUGAAGGAUAAAGAAAUGAUAGAAAAAGCAGAAAAA